rnacentral:tRNA from 1 species
GGGAAUGUAGCUCAGUGGCAUAGUGUUUGUCUGCCAUGCACAAGGCCCUGGGUUCAAAUCCCAGCACCCCA